UUUUAUAAAGACAAAGUAAGGUGGGGACUUCCCUGGUGGUCCAGUGGCUAAGACUCUGCAUUCCCAAUGCAGGGGGCCCAGGUUCGAUCCCUGGUCGGGGAACUAGAUCCCACAUGCUUCAACUAAAGAGCCUGCAUGUUGCAACAAAAACCCGGCACAGACAAA